rnacentral:misc_RNA from 1 species
UCCGAUUUACACCGGCGGUCUCUUGUGAGUUCCCACCUUUCGUGCUGGUAACACAAGACGAGGGUUGCGCUCGUUGGCGGACUUAACCGUACACCUCACGGCACGAGCUGACGACAGCCAUGCAACAAGUGUCUUCACGUCCCCUUGUGGGGGAGGGCCUCCUUUCAGAGGCUUGCGAUCGAUGUCAAGUCUGGGUAAGGUUCUUCGGUUAGCAUCGAAUUAAUCCACAUGCUCCACCGCUUGUGCGGGUCCCCGUCAAUUCAUUUGAGUUUCAACCUUGCGGCCGUACUCCCCAGGCGGGGUGCUUAAUGCGUUAGCUGCGGCACGAACGGCGUGGAAUACCGCUCACACCUAGCACCCACCGUUUACGGCGUGGACUAC